UAAUAAGCGGAGGAAAAGAAACUAACUAGGAUUCCCUUAGUAGCGGCGAGCGAAGAGGGAUGAGCCCAGCACCGAAUCCCGUAGUUUAACGGCUACUGGGAAAUGUGGUGUUUGGAAGCGUCCAUUAUCCCGAUGUCUACGGCAAUGCGUCCAAGUCCAUCUUGAACGGGGCCAAAACCCAUAGAGGGUGCCAGGCCCGUAGUGACCGUUGUCGAUGUCGGGAGGGCGUCUUCCGAGAGUCGGGUUGCUUGAGAGUGCAGCCCUAAGUGGGUGGUAAACUCCAUCUAAGGCUAAAUAUGACCACGAGACCGAUAGCGAACAAGUACCGUGAGGGAAAGUUGAAAAGAACUUUGAAGAGAGAGUUCAAUAGUACGUGAAACCGUUCAGGGGUAAACCUGAGAAACCCGAAAGGUCGAAGGGGGAGAUUCAUCAUGUCUCAUGUGUUGGCGUCGUGUAGUUGUGCGACGAGUGGCGUCCGCGUCAUUUGCGUCUGCUGUGCGAUAAUGCUGGCAUUGAACGUGUGCACUUCUCCCCUGGUAGGACGUCGCGAUCUGUUGGGUGUCGGUCUAAGGCCCGCGGUGGAGCCCGUUGGCGGUGAUUCGUUGCUGCUUUCGGACCCGCGGUGUUUCCCGGCCGACUCGCUCGACAGUGUACGGAUGGCGCAGGGCCGCGGCUUGCUCGCGUCCGGCCUACGGCAAGCAUUCCUGGUUGUGCUGGAUAUCGGACCUAGUGCCGGUUCUGGCCUCCGGUGGCUGUUAGCUGUGGUGCUCUCGGACAGACCCUGUUAAUUCAGCCAAUCUGCGACGCUAUUGCUUUGGGUACUUUCAGGACCCGUCUUGAAACACGGACCAAGGAGUCUAGCAUGUGCGCGAGUCACUGGGACAUAACUAAACCCAAAGGCGUAAUGAAAGUAAAGGUUCGUCUUGCGCGAACCGAGGGAAGAUGGGUGUCUGCAUUCGUCAGCGCCCCGCAUUCCCGGGGCGUCUCGUUCUCAUUGCGAGAAGAGGCGCACCUAGAGCGUACAUGCUGGGACCCGAAAGAUGGUGAACUAUGCCUGGUCAGGACGAAGUCAGGGGAAACCCUGAUGGAGGUCCGUAGCGAUUCUGACGUGCAAAUCGAUCGUCGGAACUGGGUAUAGGGGCGAAAGACUAAUCGAACCAUCUAGUAGCUGGUUCCCUCCGAAGUUUCCCUCAGGAUAGCUGGCGCUCGUUGCGUACGAGUCUCAUCCGGUAAAGCGAAUGAUUAGAGGCAUUGGGGUCGAAACGACCUCAACCUAUUCUCAAACUUUAAAUGGGUGAGAUCUCCGGCUUGCUUGAACAUGAAGCCGCGAGAAUAACGGAUCAGAGUGCCAAGUGGGCCAUUUUUGGUAAGCAGAACUGGCGCUGUGGGAUGAACCAAACGCCGAGUUAAAGCGCCUAAAUCGACGCUUAUGGGAUACCAUGAAAGGCGUUGGUAACUUAAGACAGCAGGACGGUGGCCAUGGAAGUCGGAAUCCGCCAAGGAGUGUGUAACAACUCACCUGCCGAAGUUACUAGCCCUGAAAAUGGAUGGCGCUGAAGCGUCGUGCUUAUACUCGGCCGCCAGUGGCAUGUGAGGUUGCCUUGUGCAAUCAUGAAGCCCUGGUGAGUAGGAGGGUCGCGGCGGUGUGCGCAGAAGGGCUAGCCGUGAGGCUGUCUGGAGCCGCCGUCGGUGCAGAUCUUGGUGGUAGUAGCAAAUACUCCAGCGAGGCCCUGGAGGACUGACGUGGAGAAGGGUUUCGUGUGAACAGCCGUUGCACACGAGUCAGUCGAUCCUAAGCCCUAGGCGAAAGCCGAUGUUGAUUUGGUGUAAAUUUUACUUGACUGUAUUAUUUAUCACACACCAAUUGGGCGAAAGGGAAUCCGGUUCCUAUUCCGGAACCCGGCAGCGGAAUCGUUCAAAUUCGGACCCUCGUGUUCGUCGGGGCAACCCAAAAGGACCCGGAGACGCCGUCGGGAGAUCUGGGAAGAGUUUUCUUUUCUGUAUGAGCGUUCGAGUGCCAUGGAAUCCUCUAGCAGGGAGAUAUGGUUUUGAACGCGAAGAGCACCGUAGUUGCGGCGGUGUCCGGAUCAUCCCCUCGGACCUUGAAAAUCCGGGAGAGGGUCACGUGAAGGCGUCGCGCCGGUUCGUACCCAUAUCCGCAGCAGGUCUCCAAGGUAAAAAACCUCUAGUCGAUAGAAUA
rnacentral:rRNA from 1 species